rnacentral:misc_RNA from 1 species
AAGUCGUAACAAGGUUUCCGUAGGUGAACCUGCGGAAGGAUCAUUAUAGAAUCAAAAUAAAACGUGUGAAAGAAGAGAAGCCUCCCCCCAAAAAGGGGGGCUACGCGUCCCCUAUAGGCAGAUCCCUUUCUCACAAAACCGCGCAAACGGUUUAUCCUUGUUUAUGAGCACUCCUGUUUCCUCGGCGGGUUCGCCCGCCGAUGGACCCAUUGUUCAACGCUUAGGAUGCAACCAGUGUUGUCUGAGCUAUAUGCAAAAACAUCAAAACUUUCAACAACGGAUCUCUUGGUUCUG